GGAAGUAUUAGCUUAAGUAGUUGAGUACCUGCUUAGAAAGCAGGAGGCCCUAAGUUCAAUUCCUAGUACUGCUG
rnacentral:tRNA from 1 species